GAUGAACGCUGGCGGCGUGCCUAAUACAUGCAAGUCGAACGGAGAAUGUAGCAAUACGUUCUUAGUGGCGAACGGGUGAGUAACGCGUUGGUGACCUGCCCCGAAGAGGGGGAUAACAGUUCGAAAGGAUUGCUAAUACCCCAUGUGGUCACUGGGAUUAGAUGCCCGGUGACUAAAGGAGUCUCUUCACUUCGGGAGGGGCCUGCGUCCCAUCAGCUAGUUGGUAGGGUAAUGGCCUACCAAGGCGAUGACGGGUAGGGGACCUGAGAGGGUGGCCCCCCACAAUGGAACUGAAACACGGUCCAUACACCUACGGGUGGCAG
rnacentral:rRNA from 1 species